GGGGGAUAACACCUGGAAACAGAUGCUAAUACCGCAUAACAACUUGGACCGCAUGGUCCGAGUUUGAAAGAUGGCUUCGGCUAUCACUUUUGGAUGGUCCCGCGGCGUAUUAGCUAGAUGGUGGGGUAACGGCUCACCAUGGCAAUGAUACGUAGCCGACCUGAGAGGGUAAUCGGCCACAUUGGGACUGAGACACGGCCCAAACUCCUACGGGAGGCAGCAGUAGGGAAUCUUCCACAAUGGACGAAAGUCUGAUGGAGCAACGCCGCGUGAGUGAAGAAGGGUUUCGGCUCGUAAAACUCUGUUGUUAAAGAAGAACAUAUCUGAGAGUAACUGUUCAGGUAUUGACGGUAUUUAACCAGAAAGCCACGGCUAACUACGUGCCAGCAGCCGCGGUAAUACGUAGGUGGCAAGCGUUGUCCGGAUUUAUUGGGCGUAAAGCGAGCGCAGGCGGUUUUUUAAGUCUGAUGUGAAAGCCUUCGGCUCAACCGAAGAAGUGCAUCGGAAACUGGGAAACUUGAGUGCAGAAGAGGACAGUGGAACUCCAUGUGUAGCGGUGAAAUGCGUAGAUAUAUGGAAGAACACCAGUGGCGAAGGCGGCUGUCUGGUCUGUAACUGACGCUGAGGCUCGAAAGUAUGGGUAGCAAACAGGAUUAGAUACCCUGGUAGUCCAUACCGUAAACGAUGAAUGCUAAGUGUUGGAGGGUUUCCGCCCUUCAGUGCUGCAGCUAACGCAUUAAGCAUUCCGCCUGGGGAGUACGGCCGCAAGGCUGAAACUCAAAGGAAUUGACGGGGGCCCGCACAAGCGGUGGAGCAUGUGGUUUAAUUCGAAGCUACGCGAAGAACCUUACCAGGUCUUGACAUACUAUGCAAAUCUAAGAGAUUAGACGUUCCCUUCGGGGACAUGGAUACAGGUGGUGCAUGGUUGUCGUCAGCUCGUGUCGUGAGAUGUUGGGUUAAGUCCCGCAACGAGCGCAACCCUUAUUAUCAGUUGCCAGCAUUAAGUUGGGCACUCUGGUGAGACUGCCGGUGACAAACCGGAGGAAGGUGGGGAUGACGUCAAAUCAUCAUGCCCCUUAUGACCUGGGCUACACACGUGCUACAAUGGAUGGUACAACGAGUUGCGAACUCGCGAGAGUAAGCUAAUCUCUUAAAGCCAUUCUCAGUUCGGAUUGUAGGCUGCAACUCGCCUACAUGAAGUCGGAAUCGCUAGUAAUCGCGGAUCAGCAUGCCGCGGUGAAUACGUU
rnacentral:rRNA from 1 species